rnacentral:rRNA from 1 species
CGCCGCCCCCGCCCGCCUACGGGAGGCAGCAGUGGGGAAUUUUCCGCAAUGGGCGAAAGCCUGACGGAGCAAGACCGCGUGGGGGAAGAAGGCUCUUGGGUUGUAAACCCCUUUUCUCUGGGAAGAAAGUUGUGAAAGCAACCUGACGGUACCAGAGGAAUCAGCAUCGGCUAACUCCGUGCCAGCAGCCGCGGUAAGACGGAGGAUGCAAGCGUUAUCCGGAAUGAUUGGGCGUAAAGCGUCCGCAGGUGGCAGUUCAAGUCUGCUGUCAAAGACCGGGGCUUAACUUCGGAAAGGCAGUGGAAACUGAACAGCUAGAGUAUGGUAGGGGCAGAGGGAAUUCCUGGUGUAGCGGUGAAAUGCGUAGAGAUCAGGAAGAACAUCGGUGGCGAAGGCGCUCCGCUGGACCAUAACUGACACUCAGGGACGAAAGCUAGGGGAGCGAAUGGGAUUAGAUACCCUAGUAGUCCUAGCCGUAAACGAUGGAUACUAGGUGUUGUCUGUAUCGACCCGGACAGUGCCGUAGCUAACGCGUUAAGUAUCCCGCCUGGGGAGUACGUACGCAAGUGUGAAACUCAAAGGAAUUGACGGAAUCGGAUC